AUAUUGGACAGAAAUGACAUACGUGAAAGCUAAGAUACAAUAUAUUUAAUUUUCUAAGAAUUCAGUUCAAGGUAGUCUGCCUGGUUUCUCAAGUUCUGCAUGUUUCUUCAGUAGACUAAAUAAUGAUAAGGAAGCUGAGAUGUAGAGCUGAAGUGUCUUGCCCAAGAUCAUUUGUCUAUUUUGCUAAUUUCUUUAAUAUCAGAAGACAGCUGGAUUCUCAUUUCUGCUUCUGCAUUCAGUCUAUUGUGAUAUAGCAUAUCAUGUAACUUCUGAAAAACUUCACUGUACACAGUAUUACUAUUUUUAGAUGCUGACCUCACAGACUCCCUGAAAGGAUCUCCAUGACCUCUAUGGUUCCUUAGACUGCACUUUGAGAACUAUUGACGUACAGGGAAAAAUGCUCUUGGUGUUCCAGUUAAGCACAGAAUAAAAUCUGGACUGUGUCAGUUUGUAAAGAUCUUAUGUCUACUUGGUCAUCAGCCAAGAAGGGAUUCCGAAGAUAGAAGAGGAGGCAUCAACACCGUGAACAUCAUGGCUGAGUUAUUUUGUGAGAGGGAUAAGCCUAAAGUAAAAACCUUGGAUUUGCCUCUGUCCUUGAACAUGCUAUCUGGAAAGAGUUUUCUUAAAAGUAUUGUUGUGAACACAUCCAUUUUCCCAGUAUAGUUGAAUGCAGGGUUUAAUAAAUGGAAUGAAUC
rnacentral:lncRNA from 1 species